UGGGUCGUUAGCUCAGUUGGUAGAGCAGUUGACUUUUAAUCAAUUGGUCGCAGGUUCGAAUCCUGCACGACCCACCC
rnacentral:tRNA from 1 species